AAUCUUAGACAAUGGGCGCAAGCCUGAUCUAGCCAUGCCGCGUGAGUGAUGAAGCCCUUAGGGUCGUAAAGCUCUUUCGCUGGGGAAGAUAAUGACGGUACCCAGUAAAGAAACCCCGGCUAACUCCGUGCCAGCAGCCGCGGUAAUACGGAGGGGGUUAGCGUUGUUCGGAAUUACUGGGCGUAAAGCGCGCGUAGGCGGAUCAGAAAGUUGGGGGUGAAAUCCCGGGGCUCAACCCCGGAAUGGCCUUCAAAACUCCUGGUCUUGAGGUCGAGAGAGGUGAGUGGAAUUCCGAGUGUAGAGGUGAAAUUCGUAGAUAUUCGGAGGAACACCAGUGGCGAAGGCGGCUCACUGGCUCGAUACUGACGCUGAGGUGCGAAAGCGUGGGGAGCAAACAG
rnacentral:rRNA from 1 species